rnacentral:rRNA from 1 species
AGACUGGAUAGGAAACAAAAAGGCAUCUUUUUGUUUUUAAAAGACCUUCUUACGAAGGUAUGCUUAAAGAGGGGCUUGCGCCACAUUAGUUAGUUGGUAGAGUAAAAGCCUACCAAGACGAUGAUGUGUAGCUGGACUGAGAGGUUGAACAGCCACAUUGGGACUGAGACACGGCCCAAACUCCUACGGGAGGCAGCAGUAGGGAAUUUUCGGCAAUGGAGGAAACUCUGACCGAGCAACGCCGCGUGAACGAUGAAGUAUUUCGGUAUGUAAAGUUCUUUUAUUGAAGAAGAAAAAGUAGUGGAAAAACUAUAUUGACGUUAUUCAAUGAAUAAGCCCCGGCUAACUAUGUGCCAGCAGCCGCGGUAAGACAUAGGGGGCGAGCGUUAUCCGGAAUUAUUGGGCGUAAAGGGUGCGUAGGCUGUUAGAUAAGUCUAUAAUUUAAUUUCAGUGCUUAACGCUGUCUUGUUAUAGAAACUGUCUUGACUAGAGUGAGAUAGAGGCAAGCGGAAUUCCAUGUGUAGCGGUAAAAUGUGUAAAUAUAUGGAGGAACACCAGAAGCGUAGGCGGCUUGCUGGGUCUUUACUGACGCUGAGGCACGAAAGCGUGGGUAGCAAACAGGAUUAGAUACCCUGGUAGUCCACGCCGUAAACGAUGAGUACUAAGUGUCGGGGUAAAACUCGGUACUGAAGUUAACACAUUAAGUACUCCGCCUGAGUAGUACGUACGCAAGUAUGAAACUUAAAGGAAUUGACGGGACUCCGCACAAGCGGUGGAUCAUGUUGUUUAAUUCGAAGAUACACGAAAAAUCUUACCAGGUCUUGACAUACUCUGCAAAGCUAUAGAAAUAUAGUGGAGGUUAUCAGGGAUACAGGUGGUGCAUGGUUGUCGUCAGUUCGUGUCGUGAGAUGUUAGGUUAAGUCCUAAAACGAACGCAACCCUUGUCGUUAAUUGCCAGCACAUAAUGGUGGGGACUUUAACGAGACUGCCAAUUAAACAUUGGAGGAAGGUGAGGAUUACGUCAAAUCAUCAUGCCCCUUAUGAUCUGGGCUACAAACGUGAUACAAUGGCUGUGACAAAAAGUAGCUGAAACCCGAGUUUUUAGCCAAUCUCAAAAAAGCAGUCUCAGUUCGGAUUGAAGUCUGUAACUCGACUUCAUGAAGUUGGAAUCGCUAGUAAUCGCGAAUCAGCAUGUCGCGGUGAAUACGUUCUCGGGGUUUGUACACACCGCCCGUCAAACCACGAAAGUUAGCAAUGCCCGAAAGCAGUAGCUUAACUUCGCAAGAAGAGGGAACUGUCUAAGGUAGGGUUGAUGAUUGGGGUUAAGUCGUAACAACGACUGCCCUCCG